GCGAAAACUUUACAAUGCCGGCAACGGCGAUAAGGGGACCUCGAGUGCCAGGUUACAAAUCUGGCUGUCGUGAUGCCUAAAAAGCAUUGCAUAGCAAGGGCCGGGCAAGACCGGUGCCAGCCGCCGCGGUAACACCGGCGGCUCGAGUGGUAACCGUUAUUAUUGGGUCUAAAGGGUCUGUAGCCGGCCGGAUAAGUCUCUUGGGAAAUCCAGCAGCUUAACUGUUGGGCUUUCAGGAGAUACUGUCUGGCUCGAGGCCGGGAGAGGUGAGAGGUACUUCAGGGGUAGGGGUGAAAUCUUGUAAUCCUUGAAGGACCACCAGUGGCGAAGGCGUCUCACCAGAACGGACCUGACGGCAAGGGACGAAAGCUAGGGGCACGAACA
rnacentral:rRNA from 1 species